CGCAAGGUAUUAUGGGCGCACGGCGGAUGCCUUGGCAUCGGAAGUCGACGAAGGGCGCGGCAAGCCGCGAUAGGCCCGGGGGAGGCGCAAACGGCCCUAGAUCCCGGGAUUCCCGAAUGGGGGAACCCAGCCGCCGUCAUGGGCGGCUACCGCGUGGGAGACCAUCCCACGCGGGGACAACCGGGGGAACUGAAACAUCUAAGUACCCCGAGGAGGAGAAAUCAACCGAGAUCGCGCGAGUAGCGGCGAGCGAAAGCGCGCGAGCCCAAACCGGAUACGGCGCCAAGGCUGGGGCCGUUGCCUAUCCGGCGUUGCGGGACGCAGAGCCCGGGGCCCCCAGGCCCCGGCCGCAGUCAAAAAACCACGUUCGAGCGGAACGGCAUGGGAAGGCCGGCCGCAGCGGGUGAGAGCCCCGUACGCGAAGGACGAGGUCUGCGGUCUGCGAUCCAGAGUAGGGCCGGGCACGUGAAACCCGGUCCGAAGCAGGGGGGACCACCCUCCAAGGCUGAACACUCUCCGAUGACCGAUAGCGAACCAGUACCGCGAGGGAAAGGUGAAAAGCACCCCGAGAGGGGAGUGAAACAGCGCCUGAAACCGUGCGCCCCCAAGCAGCGGGAGCCGUUUUGACGACGGUGACCGCGUGCCUUUUGUAGAAUGAGCCUGCGAGUCGCGGCAUGCGGCGAGGUUAAGGGACACCGAGCCGCAGCGAAAGCGAGCCUGAACAGGGCGAUUUGAGUCGCAUGCCGCGGACGCGAAGCCGGGUGAGCUAUCCAUGGGCAGGGUGAAGCGGGGGUAAGACCCCGUGGAGGCCCGA
rnacentral:rRNA from 1 species